AUUGAACGCUGGCGGCAUGCCUUACACAUGCAAGUCGAACGGCAGCAUGGAAGAGCUUGCUCUUCUGAUGGCGAGUGGAACGGGCGAGUAAAGCAUCGGAACGUACCGUGUAGUGGGGGAUAACGUAGCGAAAGUUACGCUAAUACCGCAUACGCACUGAGGUGGAAAGCAGGGGAUCGCAAGACCUUGCGCUAUACGAGCGGCCGAUGUCAGAUUAGCUAGUUGGUAGGGUAAAGGCCUACCAAGGCGACGAUCUGGAGCGGGUCUGAGAGGAUGAUCCGCCACAGUGGGACUGAGACACGGCCAGACUCCUACGGGAGGCAGCAGUGGGGAAUUUUGGACAAUGGGGGAAACCCUGAUCCAGCCAUGCCGCGUGAGUGAAGAAGGCCUUCGGGUUGUAAAGCUCUUUCGGCUGGGAAGAAAUCGCACAGGCUAAUACUCUGUGUGGAUGACGGUACCAGCAUAAGAAGCACCGGCUAACUACGUGCCAGCCGCCGCCGUAA
rnacentral:rRNA from 1 species